rnacentral:rRNA from 1 species
GACGAACGCUGGCGGCGUGCUUAACACAUGCAAGUCGAACGGAAAGGCCCUGCUUUUGUGGGGUGCUCGAGUGGCGAACGGGUGAGUAACACGUGAGUAACCUGCCCUUGACUUUGGGAUAACUUCAGGAAACUGGGGCUAAUACCGGAUAGGAGCUCCUGCUGCAUGGUGGGGGUUGGAAAGUUUCGGUGGUUGGGGAUGGACUCGCGGCUUAUCAGCUUGUUGGUGGGGUAGUGGCUUACCAAGGCUUUGACGGGUAGCCGGCCUGAGAGGGUGACCGGCCACAUUGGGACUGGGAUGCGGCCCAGACUCCUACGGGAGGCAGCAGUGGGGGAUAGUGCACAAUGGGCGGAAGCCUGAUGCAGCAACGCCGCGUGCGGGAUGACGGCCUUCGGGUUGUAAACCGCUUUCGCCUGUGACGAAGCGUGAGUGACGGUAAUGGGUAAAGAAGCACCGGCUAACUACGUG